rnacentral:rRNA from 1 species
AAAUUGAAGAGUUUGAUCAUGGCUCAGAUUGAACGCUGGCGGCAGGCCUAACACAUGCAAGUCGAACGGUAACAGGAAGCAGCUUGCUGCUUCGCUGACGAGUGGCGGACGGGUGAGUAAUGUCUGGGAAACUGCCUGAUGGAGGGGGAUAACUACUGGAAACGGUAGCUAAUACCGCAUAACGUCGCAAGACCAAAGAGGGGGACCUUCGGGCCUCUUGCCAUCGGAUGUGCCCAGAUGGGAUUAGCUUGUUGGUGGGGUAACGGCUCACCAAGGCGACGAUCCCUAGCUGGUCUGAGAGGAUGACCAGCCACACUGGAACUGAGACACGGUCCAGACUCCUACGGGAGGCAGCAGUGGGGAAUAUUGCACAAUGGGCGCAAGCCUGAUGCAGCCAUGCCGCGUGUAUGAAGAAGGCCUUCGGGUUGUAAAGUACUUUCAGCGGGGAGGAAGGGAGUAAAGUUAAUACCUUUGCUCAUUGACGUUACCCGCAGAAGAAGCACCGGCUAACUCCGUGCCAGCAGCCGCGGUAAUACGGAGGGU